ACUGACGCUAAAGCUCGAAGGUGCGGGUAUCGAAACAGGAUUAGAUACCCUGGUAGUCCGCACGGUGAACGAUGGAUGCCCGCUGUUUGCGAUAUACUGUGAGCGGCCAAGAGAAAUCGUUAAGCAUCCCACCUGGGGAGUACGCCGGCAACGGUGAAACUCAAAGGAAUUGACGGGGGCCCGCACAAGCGGAGGAACAUGUGGUUUAAUUCGAUGAUACGCGAGGAACCUUACCCGGGCUUGAACUGCCAGCGAACGAUUCAGAGAUGAUGAGGUCCUUCGGGACGCUGGUGGAGGUGCUGCAUGGUUGACGUCAGCUCGUGCCGUGAGGUGUCGGCUUAAGUGCCAUAACGAGCGCAACCCUUUUCUUUAGUUGCCAUCAGGUAAUGCUGGGCACUCUGGAGAUACUGCCACCGUAAGGUGUGAGGAAGGUGGGGAUGACGUCAAAUCAGCACGGCCCUUACGUCCGGGGCUACACACGUGUUACAAUGGGGGGUACAGAGAGUCGGUGCAUGGCAAUAUGCAUCUAAUCCUUAAAGCCUUCCUCAGUUCGGAUUGGGGUCUGCAACCCGACCCCAUGAAGCUGGAUUCGCUAGUAAU
rnacentral:rRNA from 1 species